rnacentral:lncRNA from 1 species
AUGUGUCGAGACACAUCUGCCAGUCAGUACCGUUUGCCAACGGUACCACGUGAGAUGAUCCAGUGUCUGAAUGCUGAUAUGAGCAUACUGAUCCUGCGGCAACAAAUAGAGAUCGAAAGACGGAGGUCUGAUUUGGAGCAACGCCGUUUUACGGCUGACCUUUACAAAUUACGGGGCUCCCUUCUGAUGGACCACGGCCCCCUGGGACCAUCUACCGUUUCCGGGUCCCGCUGCCUUGAAAUACUCACAGAUCUGGAUCGUCACACCCCGGGCGCUGCUGGAUCAUUGCUCUCCUCUGCUUCACUAUCUCCUCAUAUCCAUAUCUCUGUAAAUCUGGAUGCCUCUCUCUAUCUAUUACUAAUUAUCUUGUGUGGCCUGCCCUCUUCCAGGUCAUCAUGGUGGACAGGAGGUCGUGUGGCUCGGGCACCACUUGUUGACGCCUCGUCCAGCUCAGUCGUCUCCUGGAUCCACUCACUUUACACAUAACUUGAAUCAGACUUUCUGUUAAUGUAACUUGUAAACUGUGAUUUGUUGCUGUUUUCUGUACACGCGACAUCUAUUGCAUGUCUGUCCGUCCUGGAAGAGGGAUCCCUCCUCUGUGGCUCUUCCUGAGGUUUCUUCCAUUGUUUUUUUUACCCCCGUUAAAAGGUUUUUUUUUUCCAUCAACAUGUGAAGUUUUUCCUCACUUGAGUCAAGGGUCUAAGGACAGAGGAUGCUGUUCACUGUACAGAUUGUAAAGCCCACUGAGGCAAUGUGAUUUUGAUUUUGUGCUCUAUAAAUAAAAUUGAUUUGAUUUGAACGAUACAUGUCCUACUUUAGAUUUUUAAUUGAUUUGCAUACCACAGAUGUCAGAUUUACUGGGCUAUAAUUUCCAUGUAUGACAUUGCAUAAAAUUACAUGGAUUACUGUUUCCGUCCCACCACAUGCUGUAUGGAAAUUAUUUUCUCUAUUCAGAAUGGAACUCCAGCCCCACUUUCCUGCACUUCCUAGACUUUACCAGAAGAGGGUGCUGUUUUAUGCCAAGACAAGUUAAAGUGGGGGCAGGGUUGCUGCUGAGAGUUGAUGAAACACAUCUUCUUUAUCUGUUCAUCUACUAAUUGCUUUCUUGGCGAAGUGUUCAACAGCUUUGUCCAUAAAAUGUAAGAAAAUAGACACUAUAAUCGCUAUAAACACCUCUUGGUGUGUGUAUCUGUGUGAGUUACCUUCUCUAUAGAAUGUUAUUAUCUAUGUUUUGCUUAUUUAAUUGUUAAUUUUAACAGAGACAAUUAAAAGUAAUUGCACCAGAGUUAGCCAGCAGCUAAAUUGCACCUGUUGGGCAGGUAAACAAGAAAAAGACACAUAGCAGGUCGGCCCAAUCCUAAUAUUGGCUGCAGCUAAUAGAGCGAUUAGGUUUGUAGCGUUUAACUGAAAAGCAAUAAGUGACCAUCACAGUGGCAGUGUGAACUGAGAACUGAGUCGAUGAGUCAAACAUUUAUAUAUUAAAACAAAUGUUUGAUAACUGAUUCAUCAUUGAAGUUUUAUUUAACUCGGACUACAUUAAUGAUUUACUUAUAUUCAUUGCAACCCUACCACAGAUUAUGCAGAUGGUUCAAUGCUACCAUGCUAGGAUCUGAUCUGUUAAAGCGAAACUCUCGCCAAAAAGCAACCAAGGCUUUAUUUGGGAUUGAAUAUGAGUCAAACCUUCGUGUGAAAGCAUAAUUACGACGAAAGAGGCACUUUUAAGAUUUACCGUAGUUUUGGUUUUGGGCACGUUAAUUUUGAACGGGAGUGCAUGGGGCAAGACAUGCUAGCAUCAAAAUCGCUAUUUUUAGAACACUAAGAAGGCUUGACACAACAUGAAACUUUGCUCGUAGCAUCACCAGGGUCUCUACUCAUGAACAAGAGCAUUGAGAACAUUGUUUGUGUACACACAGAGUUUAUGAAAAAGAAGGUUUUUGAACUACUCACGUUAGCUGCUGCACCUCCUGCGCGUUGCCGUCAUGGCAGGCAAGUGUCGAUCCCCGAGUGCGACCUGACAGGCAGGAGAGUAAUGGUGAACCGCUCCUCAAGCGUGCCUGUCUAGCCCCCAGUUAUGUUGUGGUGCCUGUGUAUAGUAGAUAUUACAGUAAUGUAGUGCAAGAACAGAAUUCAAAAUAAAAACACCCACCUAUGAACGCAAUUUGCAAUUUCACAUGUAUUCAGUCAGACAGUCAGUUAAUUAAUUGAUUCAUUAAUUGGUCGAUUUAUUUAGGAACGUUUGAGGAGCGGUUCUCCAUUGCUCUCCUGCCUGUCAGGUCGCACUCGGGGAUCGACACUUUUUGCCUGCCAUGACGGCAACGCGCAGGAGGUGCAGCAGCUAACGUGAGUAGUUCAAAAACCUUCUUUUUCAUAAACUCUGUGUACACAAACAAUGUUCUCAAUGCUCUUGUUCAUGAGUAGAGACCCUGGUGAUGCUACGAGCAAAGUUUCAUGUUGUGUCGAGCCUUCUUAGUGUUCUAAAAAUAGCGAUUUUGAUGCUAGCGUGUCUUGCCCAUGCACUCCCGUUCAAAAUUAACGUGCCCUAAACCGAAACUACAGUAAAUCUUAAAAGUGCCUCUUUUGUCGUAAUUAUGCUUUCACACGAAGGUUUGACUCAUAUUCAAUCCCAAGUAAAGCCUCGGUUGCUUUUUGGCGAGAGUUUCGCUUUAACUAACACUGCUAACACUGACCAACCAACUACAGAGUCAUCAAUGACACAAGGCAGCCACACACUAGAAAGUGAUAACUCAUAGUGGAUAACAACCCCAGUUGUGAAGGUUGGGAGACCUUCAUAGAGUAAAGCAUGGUGUGCUGCUGUGGAGAUUCACUAGCAUAGUUAGCACCUGUCACGGGGGGAAUGACUUUAUUACGACUGCAGCGUUUACUAGAGUUUACGACAUGUUGUGGGAGACGACGACUACACUCACUGGUUCUAAAUACAACUAAUGAAUGUCUUUUCCCAUCCAAUUUAUUCAUUUUUACAGAAGUUGUAGCAUAUUCUUUUUGUAAAGCUACGGAACUUGUUUGACUCAUCAACAUUUGUAAGUGUUGUGUAGUUUGAGCCAUGUGUUUAUUAAGGUCUGAAAUAAAACAAGAUGAGAACUUGAUUAUUCUCAGCACUUUCUGUGAUGUAGUAUGCUUGCUUAUCAUAGGAAGUCAUUAGAAAUGACUCUUUACAUUAAGGUAGUAGCCUAGUGAGAACAGUGUGUUAGGGGAAUCACUUUUUUUUCCUUAUUUAUCAAACCAAGCAAGUGCCCGCAAUUUUUGCAAAUUCCCGCAAUUUCACUGCAUAAGAUUGCAUAAAUAUCCUGCACGCUCCAUCGCAUUUUUUAAGAAAACGUGCCACAUAAUCAAGAAUUUUUGCUCGCAACAAUCGCAAAAAAACUUUUUUUUCUGGAAGGACUGACCAGUUGGGGCAAGUAACGUUAUCCAGAAAAACAAAUGGAUGAAAUGAAUCAAAAAUAAUGAUCAGUUUUAAUGUUUUUUUAAUUAAUUGCAUGCUGUUUAGUUGUUGGAUCUUCAUAUUUCAAGGCACACUUUAGUGUCAGUUUUGAGGAAGUAAUUUCAGCCUAAACAAUCUAAAUUAACAAACUUUUUGUUUUCAUGACUCAAUAAACCGAAUAAACACAACUUCAUACUGUUUUACUUUGUUUAUAUUUGGCGGACCCUGCCAUCUUUGUAGCUUCAAACAGCGUUCUGAGAACAGCUUGUUAUUUCAGUAAUGAAAAAAACAUAUAUUUCUGAGCUUGAUGUACCACCUUAUUAAUAUUGUAAAUAUUAACAUUUUAACACCAAAAUGACAUAGUGCCCUCCUAAUGAGGACGUAUUGACCAGACCAUCAAACACACACAACGAUGGAUGAUAAAUUAUAUUGAGAUACUUUAGUCAAGUAAAAGUUUAAAUUCUUCACUAUUUUUUCCAAGGAGGAGGUACAGAUGGAUUAGCAGUAAAAUGUAGACAAUUCAAAUUAAAGAACCUAAAGUGAGCAUUACUGGCAACUGUCAGUGUUCCAUUUUUUUAUUUUUAUGCUGGAGCUGGUUGGUAGAUUAAUCUAAGAACGCAGUGCGACUGAUUAACUGAUCAAUCAAACUGCCUGGUUGGAUAUUAUACAUUUGACGAGAGGAGAUUAUUACUAGCUACAGCCCUAACGUCUCGUUGUAUAUAACUUUAAACAAGCUUAAAAUGGACUUUAACCCUUGCCUAUCUUAUGAGUUUGUGUCUUGGAGUGCAGUUUUGCACUUUGAAUGAAUUUAUCGCUUUAUAUUUUUAAAUUUUCUUCAUGUUAAUCUUCUCUAAAGUUGCUCACGGUGAAGUCUCUGCUGAGUCUAUUUUCAGCACCUGCUGCAGUGCCUCGUACUUAUAGGGCACUGGAGCGGGGCGGGGUGUGACAGAAGUUGUUUAACACACACACACACACACACACACACACACACACACACAGACUGAGAUAGAUUUAUCUCACAGACACACACUUUCAUGUUACUGAACUCUUGAGGCGCUUCAGUGACGACAUUCAUUUCAUAUUCUUAGAAUACUAAUAUACUUUUAUCCUUUCUCAUGAUUAAUGUAGCCUACUUAUUAAGGAGUCCUUGUUUAAAGUACAAACGUUGCGCUUCAUGUAAUAACUAUAUAUAUUAUAUGUAAUUAUGAACAAGUUUCAGUACACCUCUGAUGCCG